GCAGCAGUGGUUCAGUGGUAGAAUUCUUGCUUCCAUGCAGGAGACCUGGGUUCAAUUCCCAGCCAGUGCA
rnacentral:tRNA from 1 species